rnacentral:rRNA from 1 species
ACCAUGCAGUCGAACGGGAAUCUUCGGAUUCUAGUUGGCGGACGGGUGAGUAACGCUUAGAAUCUAACUUCAGGACGGGGACAACAGUUGGAAACGACUGCUAAUACCCGAUAUGCCGCAAGGUGAAACCUAAUUGGCCUGAAGAAGAGCUCGCGUCUGAUUAGCUAGUUGGUGGGGUAAGAGCCUACCAAGGCGACGAUCAGUAGCUGGUCUGAGAGGAUGAGCAGCCACACUGGGACUGAGACACGGCCCAGACUCCUACGGGAGGCAGCAGUGGGGAAUUUUCCGCAAUGGGCGAAAGCCUGACGGAGCAACGCCGCGUGAGGGAGGAAGGUCUUUGGAUUGUAAACCUCUUUUCUCAAGGAAGAAGUUCUGACGGUACUUGAGGAAUCAGCCUCGGCUAACUCCGUGCCAGCAGCCGCGGUAAUACGGGGGAGGCAAGCGUUAUCCGGAAUUAUUGGGCGUAAAGCGUCCGCAGGUGGUCAGCCAAGUCUGCCGUCAAAUCAGGUUGCUUAACGACCUAAAGGCGGUGGAAACUGGCAGACUAGAGAGCAGUAGGGGUAGCAGGAAUUCCCAGUGUAGCGGUGAAAUGCGUAGAGAUUGGGAAGAACAUCGGUGGCGAAAGCGUGCUACUGGGCUGUAUCUGACACUCAGGGACGAAAGCUAGGGGAGCGAAAGGGAUUAGAUACCCCUGUAGUCCUAGCCGUAAACGAUGGAUACUAGGCGUGGCUUGUAUCGACCCGAGCCGUGCCGAAGCUAACGCGUUAAGUAUCCCGCCUGGGGAGUACGCACGCAAGUGUGAAACUCAAAGGAAUUGACG